UUUGACCUCGGAUCAGGUAGGGAUACCCGCUGAACUUAAGCAUAUCAAUAAGCGAAGGAAA
rnacentral:rRNA from 1 species